CAGCGAAAAUAGUACAGUGGUAUACAGAAGGUGGAGUCUUAAUCUUCCCUUUCAUACUUAGGUCUGAUUGCGAAUUUUUUUGAAAUAAUCCCUUACACAAUUGAAUAAUAGUCAGUCUUUCCUAGAAAAAGGUACACAAUUCUAGAUCAAGAUGGGCUUGAAAGCGAGAGUUUGCUUACUUCGUGUUUAGUUUAGCGAAUAUGUCUGUCCCCCAAAUGUCUAAUUUAAUUUAUGUUUGUCAAGCAUGGAAUUUCGUAAUUAUGUGUCUCAAUCGCAAUUAAAUGAACCUCAAUAUUAUCCCAUGCGUCGCACAUUACGCGUUUCUUUACUAGAAGUUCGAACUGUAAAACGCGAUCUAGCCAGUUGCUACAAUGCUGCUUGGAACUACGCAUCAAAACAACGCUACGUGAUUCCACAGCUCCAUUUCAGGUGGAAUCUAACUACGCAUUAUGAACUUGCUAACGCUAGAACGCUAGAGUUAAAACAAGAAGCAGAAAGUAUACAGCAAUGCAAAAGAUUCAUGUUCGAAUGAAUUGAGGCAAAUGAGAAAAAACAACGAUUGCCGCAUCAUGUUCACUUUUUUGGAGGUUGGUGACGUUAUUUUCAUAAGCAACUUUCAAGACGUACUCGAAUGCGUCGCAGUUGAAUCAUUCGGUAAUUAUUUUGCUGAGCAUAGCAGAGUGAAUGCUGUAAACAUUUAUAACAAUAGAAAUCUAAAUUCAUUAUGAAUGUUGUUAUUUGGCUUCACUUUGAGUGAUCAGAAUUAGAGUGCAAUCUGGCAAAGGAGUUCGAGGGUCGACCCGAUAUUUUUGGACCUGAUAUUCUAUGAAAAGGAUUGACAAAAGGAUUUUCGGAUGAACCUUCCCCAUGGCAGUUAGAUACGUAUUUCGGAAGCCAGUUUCUCUUGCUCAGGACUCAACGCUUUGGAUUUAGUUAGAUUGGGAGCGAAAGAUGAGGAUUGAAGUCGGAGUUUGUGACUAAGUUACAAGGACCUGACACUUGAAAAACACUUUUGGCAGAUAUAUAUCAUAAGUUGAGGAACAAGGUAGAGUGGCUUGCAAGAGUUAAUAUUGAGGUUCACUCGAGUAUUUCUUCAACGACCCUCUUAAGGAGUAAAAACAUGGGUAAGAUCGAAAUUCAUCUAUGAGGAAUUCUACAGAGUUUGCCAAUUUUAAACUGAUCUAAAGUAAAGGCGUACUUAAAGCGGCUAGUGCACUAGAUUUUUCCGAAUGGAAAUGAGUACUCAGGAAUUAAUCGCGUGAUACCCCUUGAGUUUAUGAUCACUAGCUAACAGUUGAUAUUACUGACUGAAGACUGAAUAUUCUGAACAAGAUAGAAAUGGUCCGCAUUGUUGACAACUAUCAAACUUAAUUAGCGAAAAUAUUAGUUAAAUUAGUUAAAAUUAAAAAUUAUCUAGCUAACUAAAAAAAUUAUUCAAAGCAUUAUUUUUUGGGGUGAAUUCGUUGCUACAGGAAAAUGUGGAUAUAUUUUUAAUUAGUUAAUUGUGAGCUUCUUAUAAUGUAUUUCAAUUUCGGCAAGCAUAAUUCACUUAGUAAAGUCAUCGUCUGAGGAACUACAAUAUUCUUCAGAGGAAUUAAUUUUUGCACAGAGAUUAUCAAAAGAAGUAACUGAGUCUACGUGACUUUUCUCCUCAGUAAAAGUAUCUUUCAGGAUGCAUGAUUAUAUUUAUUCUCAUGAUAUUGUGGUCUUUCUCAGUAAAAUAGGUGACCAUUUACAGUGCAGAUUAUUCUUGAAAGAUUUAAAUAGUGUGUGCUCUUCACACAUU
rnacentral:lncRNA from 1 species